UUACACAAUGUUAUGUGUCAAUUACAUACCAAUCUAAAAAACAAAACAAAACAAAACAGAAAAGUGGUCCAAUACAGCUUUAGCAAAAUUAUCUGGAAAGCUUCAAAAAGAAAGCAUACUAUACUUAGUAAGUCUGUGGUGUGUCUGAGCCCUAUAUUUCCCUAUAUUUUUUCUUUAAAUUUUCCUUGUUAUUUUAAAUUAUCACUGAAUAUUGGGAAACAUUGCCCAAAGGUUAGUUAGCAUAAUUUGACAUUGAUUUUUGUUUUUUUCCUCCUGUCUUGAGUGUGGCAUACAAGUUUACUCUGUCUUUUAAACAACCCAAAUAUGCCUAGAAAGGCAUCCCUACCUUAUGAAUGGAAGCUGUGUGACUCUGAAAAUCAGAAAGAAGCAGGCUCAUCUUUAGGAACUGAUAUCAACAUGUUUUCAAAUACACAGAGAUAAAUGCUAUGUUAUGGGCUGAAUUGGGUCCAUCUAAAAGUCAUAGCCCCAGUAACUCAGAAUGAGACUCUUUGGAGAAAGGGCCUCCAAAGAGGUGUUGCAGUUAAACAAGUUCACUAGGGUGGGCCCUAAUCUAGUAUGACUGGUUCUUAUAAGAAGAGGCACCUGGACACAGACAUACACAGAAGAAAGACCACAGAAGACACAGGGAGAAGAUGGACCAUCUCCAAGACAAGGAGCAACGCCUUGGAAGAAACCAGCUCUGUUGAUACCUUGAUCUCGAACUUCUACCCUCCAGAACUAUGAGAAAACAACGUGCUGUUGCUUAAGCCCCUGGCCUGUGGUACUUUGUAAUAGCAGCCCUGGCAAACUAACACGUUGUCACUGAUGUUCCAAUUUGAUAUCUAUUGUAGCAGCUCACAAAGGUUAGUUAAUAUCAUACUAUGUCCUUUAAAUCAUUUCACAAGCAUUGAAUAUAAUCCUAUGAGGUGGGCACUGUGAACACAGCAGACCAAAAUUCUUGCCCUUGUGUGUCUUAAUCUUCAUAAGCCAAGUAUUCUGUGCCACAGGGGAGAUUUUUUUUCCCUUGCCGUUAACAGUCAUGCACAGAAUUUGCUGUUAUGAAUCACAUAAGUAACUCAAUAAGUAUUACCCAAAUUCUGGUGAGCGUGGACAGUAAAAGUAAACUUAACAUGAAAUAGUAACUGAAAAACAAAUAUAUUUAUACUUUUAUUAUUGAAAAAUAACUGGCAUCCCUGUGUUCAGACAAAUCAAAGGGAAUGUGAAUGAAUACAAGCUCAAGACAGCAAGUCUGGCUGCAGGAGUUAUUGGCUUCUCCAGUGUUACUCAUGAAAAAUAAACACUUCAAUGUUUUUUAGAUUUUACUAUAGAUUUUCUGCAUUUAUUACCACAUUUUCCUUUCUAGGGAAAAGGAAAGCUGACGUCCUAUUUGGAAUAGUACUAUCUGAAGGGCUUAUAAUUUCACAAUAAAUUUAUCACUAAAAAGCCAUAGCUUAUUUUUUAUUAGGACUUUGUGGAAAGUGCAAUUUUUUUUUAAAGUACAUUCACAAUGACUCUUCCUGUACAAAUACACACAUACAAAUGUUUACCAUGAGUUGCAUAGCAACUGUUGCAAAACUUGAAAGGCUUGCAAAGAUUUAUGUUGUGGCUUUCUUAGCCAACCGCAUACAGUACAUUUCAAACUGAUAAGGAGCCUUUCACUUCAUUCGUACCUAACAGACCGGUUAGGAAUGAAGAUUAGAUUUUAUUGUUACAAUUAUUAAAAAUACAACAAAACAGUAAUCCAGAUAUUGUAAGAGAAGAAGAAAAAAGUUCCUGUGUUACAUUACUUCUUAAAGGUGUCUCCAAUUUUAUUGAUAAAAUCUCAAUCUGAUACACUGCAUAUAGGUCUGACUUUCAGAGUCUAAGCAGCAGACAGGGCAUGCAGACAAAAAUGCCUGCCAGGAACAAAUGAUGGGAGGUUCUGUAAAGACACAAGAAUGCCCUGGAACAAUUCAUUUAAACAUGCUUCUCUGUCCUUCCCCUGUUCUUAUCUGAAUUCAUCCAAAAAGUUAUGUGGGUUAUGUUUUUAAAUUAUUUUUAAGCCAGCAAAGGAAAGCAAAUGCUUGCAUUCCUCUCAAGAACAGAUGUUUUAAUACUGUGAGGGUAAUGCAGAUUAUACAUUUAAGUGAGAAAUCCUAGGGAAGGUGGCCAAUCAUAUUCGGACCAAGUCUUAGUAUUAAGAGGUUCUUAUUGAAAGAGCGUGGUAAUCAAAUAAAACUUGACUUAAUCUAUCACACCAAUCACAGUGACAGUCCACUAUGAAAAGGGGACAGUGUUUAUCAUCCAGCACUUAAAAGCACUAAUUUCAAGGCUCCGACCUGAAGCUGACCUUCAAAUGCCAUGAAUUUCAUGGUUUCGGGCAAACCUUGAGUAGUGGCAGCAGUAUUCUGGUUGGCCCCAAAUAUGGAAAAAGAGAUGACCAGCUUUGAUGAAAAUGUUCUUAAAAAAAGGGGGUGGACGUUUAGGUUCAUACGCACAGCUUCCUACUAAAUUAGUGGAUGAAACAACUGCUACCGGCUCAAUUUUCCUAUCAGCACAAAACGUGAAAACUACCACAAUCUGAUUACAUUUUCAAUUGACGACACUGUUACUCUCAAAUUCUCCUCACCUAAAGCUUUAAAGGUCUGCAAUCACUCCAGGUAAAGAAUGUCACUCUACUGCCUAUGCCUUAGCUUGGAAGGUCUCAGGAGAAGCCAACCCUUUACUGGGGAGCAGGCUGAUUGAGGGCUGGUGAAUCAGAGUUCACACACAGAGUUUUCCACUUUCUAGUAAAUUCAUGGAUUGGAAGUAAUAAUCUAUACUGAACACUAGAAUUCCAUGGAUGACUAAAUAACACAGUCCCAAGCACAUUUUCCACAAUGACAUCUGCAGGAAGCCAAAUGAAGAGUUUUUUCUUACUAAGAUUUAAAAACUAUUCCUCUGAAUCAAAAACUGUGACAGGCCAUAAAAAGCUGAAACAACAUCUAGCAGCUGCAAGUGUUUGACAACAAAAUAUCACAUGACUCUUUUUUUACCAUUCUUAUAUCCAGUGUUGGUGAAUUUGCAUUGUUACAGUACUCAAGGAAUGAUCAGUUGUGAACAACUUCAAGUGAGAGAGAAUGUAAACUAAGAACUGUUAGAAGAAAAAUACAACUUCACUGAAACAUUUGAAUUAAUAUGCCCCUCAGACACCAGAAUCCCUAAAGACUCUUUCUUACAGAAAUUUCUCUUGUAAUUCAAUAUUUAUUCAGCAUAUUAUUAAACAGUCAUUAAGGGGAAUUGUGGAAUGUUUUGUGGGAAUCUAGCUGAGAAAUGAAAGGGAGUUAUUUUCAAUUAUGUGUUCAGUAAGUUCAAUGGUCAGAAAAUACCUUCAACCUCCUUCAAAUUUUCUAUGAGUGGAAGACCUUAUUUUGGGUAAGAACUAAUGUUAAAGAGUUAUUUAUUUUAAAAUAGAUUGACAGAGUAAAAUGAGUAUAAGCAAGUAGUUGAAACUAGGGAUAGUGAUAACAAAUGCCUCAGGAGAUUGCUGUGAGGGGGAAAAUGAAGUAAUGUCAUGGAGGUGGUUAGCAUGUCUAUGAAGUCUGAAGGACACCAGUGACCCCUCCAAAUGGCUGAAUCCCAUUUCCACUUCCUGAAAAGUGGCUUUGCCAGUUUUCCUCCUACCUCAGUGGAUGCUUCUCCUUAGCUAUUUGUUGGUUCCUCUUGAUCACCUUCCUUCUGCAGGCUGGAGUGUUCCAAGGCUUAUUGCUUAGACAGCUUCUUUUCUAUUUUGUUUGCCUUUUUCCUUUAGUGAUCUCAUCUGGUUUCAAAGCAUUGCAUGUGCUAUACAUGCUGACUACCAGCAAAUUCCUAUUUCUAACUGGCACCUUUUUGCUAGCUCAGUAAACGGCAGCUCCAUUAUUUGGAGUCAUUCUUUGCUUACACCCUACAUCCAACAUCUGUUAACCCAUUAUGUCCUCUGAAAUCUACCUUCCAUCUUCCAGUGGGGUACACUUUUUCUGGUCAAAAGGCAUGUAGUAACCCUCCUACUGACUGCAAAUGACAGAAAUGAUGUUCUCUUCUUAGAGUAAGAGAACCAUACCCACUCACCAAAGAAAAUUGAGCAUUUCUGUAAAUUACAUGGUGAAUACCUCACUUAUGUGUGUGUCUGCAGGGAUAAAUGUUCAAAGUAGGGAUGAUACCACCUACCUUAGAUAAUGUUAUAAGGAUUAAGUAAAGUAGGAUAAUUGAAAAAUUGAGCAUUCUGCAUAGCCAGGAACUAUCAUACACACUAUUUUUAUUGUAUAUUUUAUUAUCCACACUGUAUCAGCUUUAGUCAAGAUAAACAAUUAUUUUUAAAAAUUUGGUGGGUGAUUUAUGUCAGUUUGUUCUGCAUGGAGUGAUAUUACCUAUUCAGUCAGCGUUCACUGAUAUCCCUGCCCAACAUUCUUAUAACACUGACAUGACAAAUCAGAGCUUGUCCUGCCCCAAAGGGAAAAUCCUUGUUCAAACUUCUUCCGCUGCUAAAACAGAUUUAUAUUCAGUAGCUGUUCUGUGGGGGAGAGACGGGCAUUUUACAACAACAAGUUUGGUGAAUGCAAGUCUAGGUAUGUUUUGAAUAACUCUGUGCUGAGAAACUGCAAAAAAAAAAAAUGUGUAAUAAUAUCCUUAGCUCACAGCUCUAAUUUCAGUUUUUUUGAAUUCUUAUUUCUUGCCUAUAAAGUCUUUAUAUGAAAUAAAACAAACAAAACCCCACCCCAAAUGCAGGAUUUCUCUAGUCAGGCCCACUGUGUAACUGCUGUUAUCUUAACUACAGUGUAUGGGGUUGUGUUGAAAGAAACUUCUAUAAAGUAGCCAGAUAGCAUGUAGUGCUCAUUUCAACAAUGGAGAAAAAUAUGAAUGGCAAUUAUUUUGUGAAGUGCUAGGUCAUUUCUUUUUACAUUCUUCAUCACUCUAUGACAUUCCUGUCAUGCUAUAAAGUCUUCAGUGCUCAUCCACAAAUCUGAGCAGGUCCAAAAAAUAAAAGGGCAGACCACUAUAUAUUUUUUCAUGUUGGCCACUAUAGUAAAAUUAAAAUGUGUCACAUUUUUAGAAUUCUGGCAAGGUCAAAAAAAAAUCACCGAAUGCAAAAAGGAAUGUGGAAUAUUAUGUGAAAAGUUGCUGCUAUCAUCCCCAAGCACACCUGAGAGGCCUUUUCUUUCUGUUGAUAUAAGUAAGAUAUGGCUUAAAAAACAGAGGCAGAUAAAAAUAAAAUCAUUCCGUGAACCGUAUAUAUGACUAUUUUUAUGUGCUCAUACUGAAGGGAUGAAGAUGAAUGGCCAUGGUGUUGUUCUUACCUCUUGAUGGACAAACCUGUGUCCCUUGGGUAAGGACCACAACAGAGGUUAAAAACCAAGUUCUGGGACAGCAAUUAAUUCUGCCUGGAAAAAUUAAGAGGAACCAAAAAAAAGAGGAGUAAGUGAAUCUACAGUUUAGAGAAUAACAAAAUGCUUAACACAGAUUAGAGGAAACACUGCAGGUAUUUACAAGGAGCUGAGCUGGGAAAACAAGUAUGGCUCUGAGUCAAGAGGAAGAGGCAGUGUGUGGCGGAAGUGCUGCCCUGGAUGGGAGGGCGGAUGGCAGGAGGUGAGGAGACAAAGCAGGUGUGGUUAGGAGGCCUUUGUGUGUGCCAACUUAUGGAAUUUGGACUUAAUCACAAAGCGGAGAGUCAAAAAGAUUUCAAGAAAGUUCUGGCAUGAACACAAAUUUCACAUCUUCAAAGUGGCAAUGAUUUCUUAGGCAAACCACCAAGGAUUUUCCCAGGAUCAACAUUCCUCUUGGGCCCAGGGCUACUGCUCCCUGGCUUCAGGCUCUUGGACUUCGGUUCAGCACAACAGAACCCAGCGGCUGGCAGUUUUCCAGCCAGCGCUACUUAUGAUUGUGCUAUUGGCUAUCACAGCAACAUCUGUCUGCCACCAGAGUAUCCAUGAAAGAGCAUAAUGAGGCACAGCGUGGAGGUGUCAGUGAGGGAGUGGCGGAGACACAGGACCAUCACAUGCUUGAGGGAUGCCUGGAAACAGUAACAUCUCAAACGUGAGUAGAAAGAAAAGAUCCUUUGACAACAACAUCCUGAAAAGGAGCAGUCAUGGAAACAGGAGGAAAACCACACAGAGCUACAGGAGAAUAUGCACCAGAAGCAGGAGUGGUCAACGGCGGCCAAGUGCCAAGGAAAGGAAGAUCAAAGGAGAUGAAAGCAAAAAGCAGCCUCUGCAUUUGGCAAGGAUGAAGUCAUUUUCAAUAAACUGAUUGAGCAGAACACACAGCACCCAAAAUGUUCUUCACAUCAUUUUCAAAAUAACGAUGAUAAUCUUUCUAAUAGAAGCAUCUUAAAAGAUUAUCACAUGCAACGACUCACAUAACUAUUUUACUGUAUAUUUUUUAAUUUCUGCUUAAAGAAAAUCACUAUUGUGUUUAUUUAAUUUGUAAGCUCUUUAGAAGUAUCUCAAAGAGGCUUUUAAUCACACACAGAAAUAUCUGGAUUACAAAUGUUAAGGAUUUAUUAAGGAACAAAUAAGUCCCAAAUGUGGCCCUGUCUACUUUAUAAUCCUGACACAAAAAUUGCUGUCUUACAAAUUAGAUAAGAAUGACAAGUACAUUAUUACAUUUUUCGUGAAGAUUUUCUACUGGUUUUGAUGCCAUUUGAAAAAAAACCAACAUUUAUAACAAUUUCUAGAUUUGCAGUUAGACAGCUGGCAGCUAAUUUUUACAUGCUCAUUCAAGUCUGGUGCAUAUAUUUACCCUACUGCUUUAAAAACCUACAUAGUUUUGCACCCCUUGAAGGUUAAAUGACAUCUGAAAGAGUACUAUGCUCUUUGCCUAUGAAACAGUAGAACUUAACAUAUGCUACACAUUGUUCCAUAGUAAACUAGGCAUUUUAGGAUUUUUUUCAGAAGUGGUGUCAUAUAACAAUAUAAUUCUAAAUUUCAUCCAAUUAUUCUACCAUUAAUAUUUAUGGUCAUACCCAACAACUGUAUAGAUGUGUAUGGAAUUGAAAAAUAUUAAUAAUGCCAUUAUCUACUAAGGCUUAGAUUUCCCUUUUAUUAAAAGCAGUGAAUCCCCUUGCUAAAGGAUAUGAUGACAAAAAUCACAUUAUUUUUUACUUCAUAUUCCAGAUCAUACAAAGUAGACCAAGUAAAGAUCUACGUGGAAAGCACCCCCAUGCCUACUGUGCUAUCUAAUGUUCAAAACAGAAAAAAAUAAGAAACAGAAUGGAGCAAAAACCACUGCUGCUUGAGUCCAUGUUUCCUUUUAAAAUGUCUGAGAAAAUACAGUGUGGUUGGAAAAAGACUAGCAUGCUAAAUCCAAUCAUCUUCCCUAAUAAUUUGAAUUUUCCUUUUCCUGACAAAAUGUCAUUUGUAAAAUAUGGGGUUCAUUGCAGAAGCUGGCUGUUUGAUACACUAUAACAUAGCUCAAAACAUUAAGAAGAAAUUGAGGAGAGAAAACAAUGAUAAAAGACAUUGCAGGCUUUAGCAAAAUGAAAAGAAGAUAAUAAAACAAAGCAACAUUUGACACAUAAAAGUGAAAUCACAAAGCAUAAUAAUCUUUAAAUGCAGAAAUCUGCACAUGCCCAGGUGACUAUUCUGGAGACAUAGUAAUCCUUAUAAUACACUCUCAGGUAUUAAUUUCCAACGUGCCCAUUUGCUCACGUCAGUACUGAAAGGAUUUACUAAACCUAUUUUAUAAGCCAAUCAAAUAUCACUUUCUCACGGCAACAUGAUACAGAGCACACAGCGCUAAGUGGUUUACAAUGACCACUCCCUUUCUCUAACAUGCCCCUGGGGACCCAUGGAGGAUUUAUGUUCUUUUAUGUUUAACAAACAAGUCUGGUAUUGUAGACAAAAUUUUCGUUUUCAUGUGGGAUUUUAAAAACGGUGAGGACAUGAGGACUGCUUUCUUACUAUCAAGGACUGUGAGGAGUGUACCAAAGAAAUAAAUUCACUGAUAAACAUAAUUGUCAGACACCCAGCUUCCUUCAACAAAAAUAAACCGACCUUGCAAAAUAGGCUGUUUCUAGUUCACAUUAACUAACACCCUGUCAAUUAAAUCUAUCCCAUGAAUUAUGGAACCUGAUGGUAGUACGAAACACUGCCAAAAAAUAAAUGUGCAUCUUGAAAAGGCCUAACCCUGAAAGUGUCAAUGGGAGUCUGAGCUUGCUGGGAAAGGUAAUAAAAUUAAUAAGAUGACAAUUAUUGUACAGUGUUAUUGGCUUAUAUUUCCGUUUAGCAGCAUACAACUCAUACACAGAAUGGAAAUUUUAGAUUCUCUUUUGGACACCAAAAUGCCUAUCCAUGCUUUAACUUAUAUUGAAAAUAAUUAAAAAUAAUACAUUAACUGCUUCUCAUACAUAGACUCAUUUACUCCUCACAAAAAUCAUAGAAAGUUCAUAUUGUACCUAUUUUAUAGAUUAUAAAAUAUAGAAAAGCCAAGGACCUGGCCAGGGUCAUACAGCAACUAAAUGUAGAGCCAAGACUUCAAUUUUGGCAGUUGAAUUCCAUACCCUUAAGUGUUAAUACCCUUAAGUGCUAAGCCAUACUGUGCACUAUACUUAAAAAUAUGCCUACAUAAUUAUAUUUGCUUUAUUUUGAGGCCUAACUACAAAGAAUUUGUGUAUCCUUUGUUCAAAUUGGUCAAAUGGUCUUGUUUAAUGACUGGAGAAACAUAAGGACUAUUCAAAUAAAACUGAUGGGUCAUCUUGGUUAAGUGGGACAUACACAUUUUACAGAUAUAUUUUUUAAUUUGGUAAUGAUUAUUUUUAGUCACUCAAAAUUCCUUAUGUAGAGUUUUGAAACAUAUGUAGGAACUACACAAGCAUGGUUCAGAAGACUGACAACACAUGAUGGAGUAAUUCUCAUAAAAAAAUGAGUUUUACCUGUGAAAAAUGGUUAUAUUGUACUUGGUGGGUUUGUAUAUGGUAAGAUGUUAAUAGACUUAAAUUAUCUUAUUACAAAAUAAAAGCAUUAUAAAU